UACGGAGGGUGCAAACGUUGCUCGGAAUCAUUGGGCGUAAAGCGCACGUAGGCGGUCUUGCAAGUCGGGUGUGAAAUCCCUCGGCUUAACCAAGGAAGUGCACUCGAAACUGCAAGACUUGAGUACUGGAGAGGGUCGCGGAAUUCUCGGUGUAGAGGUGAAAUUCGUAGAUAUCGGGAGGAACACCAGUGGCGAAGGCGGCGACUUGGUCAGAUAAUGACGAUGAGUUGCGAAAGCGUGGGGAGCAAACAGG
rnacentral:rRNA from 1 species